rnacentral:misc_RNA from 1 species
GAGUCUUCUCCUGUUGCUGGAGGUGAAUUGGGCUACUGGAAUCCAACGUUUUCAUGGUCUGAUCUUCCAACAACUAACGGUGCAUGUCCUUAAGAACCCUUUAUUUCAUUUUUUUUUUUUUGGUUUCGUUUUUGCUUUUUAGAUUACCUUCAUAUGCUAGGGUGGUUGUGGUAUAUGGAUAAAGUCGUAGAUUCAGUUUUUUUUUUUUGCAUUUCAUUUACUUUUAAGGUUCUCAAUUAUGUAUGUGUGUUUUUGUUUGUUUGACUUGUGACAAUGUUCCAAGGACCAAAAAUGGUAGAAAUGGAAAAUAUUAGCUGCUUUAAGUGCCUCCUGUUGUCCAUUUUUAUUCAAACGGUCAAACAUUCUCUCCUACUCGUACAGAUUAUUAUGAAACUUGAGCCUUCACAGAGC